rnacentral:rRNA from 1 species
AUUGAACGCUGGCGGCAUGCUUUACACAUGCAAGUCGAACGGUAACAGGCCGCAAGGUGCUGACGAGUGGCGAACGGGUGAGUAAUGCAUCGGAACGUGCCCGGUCGUGGGGGAUAACGCAGCGAAAGCUGCGCUAAUACCGCAUACGAUCUAUGGAUGAAAGCGGGGGACCGUAAGGCCUCGCGCGAUUGGAGCGGCCGAUGUCAGAUUAGGUAGUUGGUGGGGUAAAGGCUCACCAAGCCAACGAUCUGUAGCUGGUCUGAGAGGACGACCAGCCACACUGGGACUGAGACACGGCCCAGACUCCUACGGGAGGCAGCAGUGGGGAAUUUUGGACAAUGGGCGCAAGCCUGAUCCAGCAAUGCCGCGUGCAGGAAGAAGGCCUUCGGGUUGUAAACUGCUUUUGUACGGAACGAAACGGUCCGGGUUAAUACCCUGGGCUAAUGACGGUACCGCAAGAAUAAGCACCGGCUAACUACGUGCCAGCCGCCGCAGUAACAC